AACCGGAGCUAAUACCGGGUAAUACAUCGCACCGCAUGGUGCAAUGUUGAAAGUUGGCUUUCGAGCUAACACUGCAGGAUGGGCCCGCGGCGCAUUAGCUAGUUGGUAAGGUAAUGGCUUACCAAGGCGACGAUGCGUAGCCGACCUGAGAGGGUGAUCGGCCACACUGGGACUGAGACACGGCCCAGACUCCUACGGGAGGCAGCAGUAGGGAAUCUUCCGCAAUGGACGAAAGUCUGACGGAGCAACGCCGCGUGAGUGACGAAGGCCUUCGGGUCGUAAAGCUCUGUUGUUAGGGAAGAACAAGUACCGUUCGAAUAGGGCGGUACCUUGACGGUACCUAACCAGAAAGCCACGGCUAACUACGUGCCAGCAGCCGCGGUAAUACGUAGGUGGCAAGCGUUGUCCGGAAUUAUUGGGCGUAAAGCGCGCGCAGGCGGUCCUUUAAGUCUGAUGUGAAAGCCCACGGCUCAACCGUGGAGGGUCAUUGGAAACUGGGGGACUUGAGUGCAGAAGAGGAGAGUGGAAUUCCACGUGUAGCGGUGAAAUGCGUAGAUAUGUGGAGGAACACCAGUGGCGAAGGCGGCUCUCUGGUCUGUAACUGACGCUGAGGCGCGAAAGCGUGGGGAGCAAACAGGAUUAGAUACCCUGGUAGUCCACGCCGUAAACGAUGAGUGCUAGGUGUUGGGGGGUUCCACCCUCAGUGCUGAAGUUAACACAUUAAGCACUCCGCCUGGGGAGUACGACCGCAAGGUUGAAACUCAAAGGAAUUGACGGGGGCCCGCACAAGCAGUGGAGCAUGUGGUUUAAUUCGAAGCAACGCGAAGAACCUUACCAGGUCUUGACAUCCUCUGACAAUCCUGGAGACAGGACGUUCCCCUUCGGGGGACAGAGUGACAGGUGGUGCAUGGUUGUCGUCAGCUCGUGUCGUGAGAUGUUGGGUUAAGUCCCGCAACGAGCGCAACCCUUGAUCUUAGUUGCCAGCAUUCAGUUGGGCACUCUAAGGUGACUGCCGGUGACAAACCGGAGGAAGGUGGGGAUGACGUCAAAUCAUCAUGCCCCUUAUGACCUGGGCUACACACGUGCUACAAUGGACGGUACAAAGGGCAGCAACACCGCGAGGUGAAGCGAAUCCCAUAAAGCCGUUCUCAGUUCGGAUUGCAGGCUGCAACUCGCCUGCAUGAAGCCGGAAUUGCUAGUAAUCGCGGAUCAGCAUGCCGCG
rnacentral:rRNA from 2 species